rnacentral:rRNA from 1 species
AUUGAACGCUGGCGGCAUGCCUUACGCAUGCAAGUCGAACGGUAACAGGUCUUCGGAUGCUGACGAGUGGCGAACGGGUGAGUAAUACAUCGGAACGUGCCUAGUAGUGGGGGAUAACUACUCGAAAGAGUGGCUAAUACCGCAUGAGAUCUACGGAUGAAAGCAGGGGAUCGUAAGACCUUGCGCUACUAGAGCGGCCGAUGGCAGAUUAGGUAGUUGGUGGGAUAAAAGCUUACCAAGCCGACGAUCUGUAGCUGGUCUGAGAGGACGAUCAGCCACACUGGGACUGAGACACGGCCCAGACUCCUACGGGAGGCAGCAGUGGGGAAUUUUGGACAAUGGGCGCAAGCCUGAUCCAGCAAUGCCGCGUGCAGGAUGAAGGCCUUCGGGUUGUAAACUGCUUUUGUACGGAACGAAAAGCCCUGGGUUAAUACCCUGGGGUCAUGACGGUACCGUAAGAAUAAGCACCGGCUAACUACGUGCCAGCAGCCGCGGUAAGAC